rnacentral:rRNA from 1 species
GACGAACGCUGGCGGCGUGCUUAACACAUGCAAGUCGAACGGUGAAGCUCCAGCUUGCUGGAGUGGAUCAGUGGCGAACGGGUGAGUAACACGUGAGCAACCUGCCCCUGACUCUGGAAUAAGCGCUGGAAACGGCGUCUAAUACUGGAUACGAGAAGGGCCCGCAUGGGCACUUUCUGGAAAGUUUUUCGGUUGGGGAUGGGCUCGCGGCCUAUCAGCUUGUUGGUGAGGUAAUGGCUCACCAAGGCGACGACGGGUAGCCGGCCUGAGAGGGCGACCGGCCACACUGGGACUGAGACACGGCCCAGACUCCUACGGGAGGCAGCAGUGGGGAAUAUUGCACAAUGGGCGAAAGCCUGAUGCAGCGACGCCGCGUGAGGGAUAACGGCCUUCGGGUUGUAAACCUCUUUCAGCAGGGAAGAAGCGAAAGUGACGGUACCUGCAGAAGAAGCACCGGCUAACUACGUG